GACGGAGGAUGCAAGUGUUAUCCGGAAUCACUGGGCGUAAAGCGUCUGUAGGUGGUUUAAAAAGUCCACUGUUAAAAAUUGAAGCUUAACUUCAAAGAUGCCGUGGAAACUUUUAAACUUGAGUAUGAUAGGGGUAGAGGGAAUUUCCAGUGGAGCGGUGAAAUGCGUAGAGAUUGGAAAGAACACCAAUGGCGAAAGCACUUUACUGGGCUAUUACUGACACUGAGAGACGAAAAGCUAGGGUAGAGCAAUAGGGAACUAGUACCUACGU
rnacentral:rRNA from 1 species